AGGUCAAUGAGUUUGUAAAAUCUAAUUUUGCCAGUUACAUGAGGGUAAUAUUAAUUUUUUUUAAUACCCUUAGGUCUAUUUAUUUAGCUUAGACGUGUCACUUGAUAAUUUAACCUGUUCUCACGGUUUGUCUCCGUGACCCAGACUGCAUUUAAGCACCAUGUCUGAUGAUAAUGUAAGCAAUAUGGGCGUCAGACCGACUGAAAGAAAAUCUGCCAGUUCUCAAGUUCAGAUACAAUGCGAGCACAAAGCAUGUGAUGUCAUCUUUUCAGCGCGCCUGUGGCCCCUUUAUUCUGUAGGCUUGCGUUGAGGCUUUACUCGAAAGUGAACAAUAAAAAUAGUUUUAUAAAAGGAGACAGAAGUUUCUCUUCAGCAUGCUGAUACAGAGGCCAGCACUGUGGCGUGUAGAAGCCCAGCGCGCGCUCUGAGCCGUUAGUGCUGCAGCUCCUGUCUGGUCGGGGGCCCGCGUGCGCGCGCUGCAUGGGGACCGCCACUUUCUAAAGUGAUGCAGAUGAGUCGGGUGCACUUGACGUCUUUUCAUGACCCUUGAUGCCCCCCUCCUCCCUUUCCUCUCCCCCUCCUCCCUUUUCUUCGUCCUCCCCCCCUUCUAAAGCCCACCAAACCCCGCCGGCUCUGUGUGUCAUAUUCGUUUCGGCCUGUGGCACCGCCGCUUGCCCCCGAGCGUGGGAAUGGGAGCGUCCGCUCGUUCACAUCUCCUGUGCUCCGUUUUAACGGAAUCAAUUAAGGAGGAGCGACCCCCCCCCCCCCCCCCAACUCCUAACGCUAUCCCAUGCGCCCACCCCUUUUCAUUUUUUUUUUUUGUCAGCUCUCUAUAUGUCCUAAUUAUUUCUGUUUGGGAUGCCAGCGCCGUUUCCUGGCCAAGGGCGACAGAACAAAAAUAAAAAAUAAAAAUAAACCGUGCAAAGCAAGGCGUGCACGUGACUUCUGCAAUAAAAAAGUCUUUUUUUUUCAGAAGUAUUGUCACAUAUAGGCUAGAAGUUCGUGCAAUCUUUGUAAGAAGGAAUUCUUCAUCCCUGGAUCAACUACAUUAAAUAAAGCAAAAAAACCCCAAACAAACAAACAAACAAACAAACAAACAAAAAACAGUGUGUCUGUGGGAGAGAGAGAGAGAGAGAGAGAGAGAGAGAGAGAGAGAUUUAAAAAUAUCCUCAACUCCAUAGAAGAUCCCCACCACCCUCAGUCAUUUCGCAGUGUAAAACUUUUGAAUGUUUGCAUCACAUCACAUCACAUCACAUCACAUGAAUCACACACUUUCUGAAAGCCAUCAAGUCUUGCAGCAUGCACAGAGGUCGAUGAGCAUGGAGGCAGUUUUUACUUUCGGUUAUCUAGCUUUAUGACGGCCAACACACUCAUACAGCUAGAUAACCAAAGAUAACAACUCGCUUCCAGUUCAAUCCCGUGACAGUAAUCCGUUCCAGAAGCCUCGUGGUCUUCGAUGGUGCACAUCCACAUAGUGAAGUUGUCAAAGCAACUCCUUAAUUAUCAAAGUCGUCCCGUGUUGUCCACAACUAGCCUAUGAUCGCAAAGUGGAGCUAAAAAUAACGCUUUCCUCAGAAGUUUAAAAAAAAAAAAAAAAAAAAAAAAAAAAAAAAAAGCACGUUAUAGCCUGGAAUAUGCUGUAAUCCCCCGGACUCGUGACAUAAACCAAUAUUAGAGUUGGAGAGAGAGAGAGAGAGAGAGAGAGAGAGAGAGCGGUGAGGAAGGUGCAGCCAUCCUUGCACAGGCCCUCAUUUGCAUUGCAAUUUUUUUUUUUUUUUUUUUUUUUUUUUUUACAAAAGCCUCCUCUGGUCCUAUUAGACUGCGCAGGCGGUGAUCGGUAUCCCGCGGAACCGGCGGCCACUUUACAAAAGGAGAAAUCCGAUUCCGGAGGAAGAGUGAACAUAUGAAUAACACCGCGUCGGUGGCGCCACAACAUAUAGAGCUCGUGCUUCUUUUCCAUUUUUUCGUUGCAUCAUUUUGACGAUGGGUUACGGGUUCCGUGUGCGGAAAAGCAUUUAUCGCAAAGGGGGAGAAAAAAAAGGUGCCGUAAUAAAGCGAGUGGAGGAGAAAUUCCGCUGUCCGUCUCGCCGCUGCCACCAACGGUCUGAGGAAAGGCAAUAGGGCCAUCUCAGGGACUAAAGGGGGGGAACUUAAGGGGAGGGGACGGCCAUCCACUAAAAAAAUCUGGACCAACCACACAAGGUCAAAGGUCUCGGACCAGCGGGAGUGUUAAGGUAAUGAUGAUGUCAUUAGAAACGCGGAGUUUGCUAUUUGUGUGCGUCGUCGGCACGCGCUAUGUAUUUGAGCCUCGCUGUGGAAGAGAUGUGACAUCGCAGUGUGGGGGGGAGACACAGCGACCGAAAAACGACGCCUCUCUCCCUGAAGAUGGAGAUUUUUGUGCACAUAGCUAAAGAAAAUGGAGGUAUGCAGUAAAGCCUGGCUUCUGCAUCUGCCAGUGUUAUACAGUGUCAGCCUGGCCUGACUGUGUGUCGCCUUUUAUAUGUGAGACUGUGAGAUGCCUUUAUAUUCUGCUACUGUAAGGCACUCUGUAACCUUUUACUCUGACCAUCUCCAUUUUCAGAUAGAUUCCCAAAGCAGCGACUGCCAUUUUCCAUGUGUGACAAGCUAUUUGGAUUCUAACAAUACAAAUAAUCCUCUUCAAAGCAUGUUUCAUUCUGUUAUCACAGCUUAGGUGACAGAUUUUCAUUCUAUGUGAUGGCAAACAGAUAAAAAAACAAAACAACAAAAAAAAACAGAAACAUAUUUGCUUUGCAGGAUGCAAGGGAUAAUGAAUAGACUACUAUAUAUAUAUAUAUACAUUCCCCACUGUAAUUGUGUGUGAGAAUUGAGGAGGGUGUGGAAUACUUUUUGUGUGUGUGUGUGUGGGGGUAUGUUUGAUAAAAAUGGAACAUUCAUUGUAGGAACUUAAAAAGCUAGUCACAAUCGUAGGUGCAGGAAUACACAAGGGAGUGGAAAAACACCACAAAUCUAGCAAUAGGUUAAAAUGAUUGAGUGUGUGUGCAUGGUGGUGUUGGUGUGUGUGAGUGUGUGUGUGUGUGUGUGUGUGGGGGGGGGGGGGGGGUAAUAGGUGGGUGGUGCUCAAGAGGGAGCCACCUAGUCAGCAUGGGAAAACAAUAAAGUUUUCUUCAUCACUUGUCUAAUGCAUAUGUUCCAUUCUUUUUUUCCCCCUGUCCCAGUAUACCUACAAUACUGAUUGUUGAUUUGAACCAAUAUAACUACAGUCGAGGACCUUUUUAGACUGUUUGUGAAAUUACACUCUAUUCUCUGUUGUGCAUCUCUGAAUUAAUUACAGUGCCCAAAUAGCACAAUAAAUGAAACAAGCUACAUAACUCUUAUUGAUUUGUCACUCUCGACUGAUCCGACAUCAGAUCCUUUCCUUGAUGCAUGACUGAAGUAGCUGAAUAAAUGACUUUAAAAUUGUGGCUUCUGUCAUAAUGAUUCUGAACCAUUAAUAUAGGCCUUGCACCUGAAACACUCAGUUGAUUGAGUCUCCUUCUACUGAAAACCAUUGAUAUUUCAUAAGAAAACUAUGAGCUUGCCUCACUUGCCUUGGUUUUUAUCACACAUCUGAUAUCUGACUUCUGAGACAAACACAAGACAUAUUGGAACACAACUCAUGCCUAAUUACAAAUUAUAUAUUUUUUUAAUAAACAAACAUAUUUGAGAUCAUGUGAUUUUAGUCAAUAAUGGUUGUAUGGAUUUUAGAUAAGGCACUGUGCAUGAGCAGCAAAAAGAUAUCAGGGUGUCUGACCCUCCUGAGAACGCAACACACGAAUGCAGCAAGGUAAGAUCAGAAGUACUGUGUGCAACAUCAUAUAACUACUGGUCAAUGACUAUUUAACUUGGUAUGACCACCAUGGUUGGGUUAGAUAAUACUGGAUACAUCAUAGUAGUAUAACCUAAAAGCAAGUUGUCAGUAAUAACUAAGAACUAAAAUUGUGCCUUGGACAACCAAUUCUAACCCAGCUUUUGGAAAAAGUAAUGAUUCACCAUUGUCAAGCAGAGAACUUCGGCUAUGACCAUGGACAUGUCCUUUUACAGAUAAAACACACAUUCAUGCUACUCUUGCGGUAACACGCCAAAGUUCAUCUUCACUGACGAGACAUCUGCAGUAAAAGUGCGCUUGAGAAACUUCACAAGGAAAUUAGUGCUCACGUCGGUCUAUAGGGAAGAAGAGUACUCACUUUCUGUCCAAGCGUCUUUCCAAACAUUCAGUAUCCGUUGCCGGUGCGCAAAACGCCGUCUCACUAACGAGUCCAUCCUGUGCGCGUGUGGUUCAAAAUUGCCGCUAACACUUAGCUCAUUACGCGUGCUUCCCUGCUCCGGUAAGUCCACGCGCGCUAGAGACAGCGCGAGAGUGUGUGAGAGACUGAGAGACAGCGCGAGAUGGGGGGGUGUACGGGGGGGGGGGGGGGUCAGAGAGGAGGGGUCGAGAAGUUUCCCAUAACCUAUUUGUCUACGGCACCAAAUGGGAAAAAGUGCAGUGUUGAGCGGAGAAGGGUUGGCAUGGAAUGAUUUAAAAAAUAUAUAUUUUAUUUUUUUUAGUGUUAGGGUGGGGGUAGAUGGGGGGUGUUGGGAGGGGGUCAGCAGAAGAGGGGGGCACCUCUCCUUCUCUGUGAUAGAAAGAAAGGACGUGCUCGGAAAUUCAAACAAGUUGGCCAGGUCUUUUGUUGGAUUUGAACUGAGGAGCCAUUGUUCCCCUUAUUGGCGUGGACUGUAGCCCCCCAGUUUCCCAGAGCAGGUUACGCACUGACUGCGCUAAUGAAUUUGCCUCGAGCUUUUUUUUUCUGCCCCACACGAGCGGACUGACGGAACGCGCUCGCCGUCUUUAUACACAGCGAGGACAUUAUUAGAGCAGGGAGAAAAAAAA
ensembl:lncRNA